GCCUGGAUGGCUCAGUCAGUUGGGCAACUGACUUCAGCUCAGGUCAUGAUUUCACAGUUCGUGGGUUCGAGCCCUGCGUCGGGCU
rfam:Felis catus isolate Cinnamon breed Abyssinian chromosome X, whole genome shotgun sequence.